UGAAGCUGGAAUUGCUAGUAAUGGCAGGUCAGCAUACUGCCGUGAAUACGUUCCCGGGCCCUUGUACACACCGCCCGUCACACCAUGAGAGUUGGAAGUACCCGAAGCCUGUGAGCUAACAAACGAGGCAGCAGUCGAAGGUAGAGCCAAUGAUUGGGGUGAAGUCGUAACAAGGUAAC
rnacentral:rRNA from 1 species